CGUGGGUAACCUGCCCAAGAGACUGGGAUAACACCUGGAAACAGAUGCUAAUACCGGAUAACAACACUAGACGCAUGUCUAGAGUUUAAAAGAUGGUUCUGCUAUCACUCUUGGAUGGACCUGCGGUGCAUUAGCUAGUUGGUAAGGUAACGGCUUACCAAGGCAAUGAUGCAUAGCCUAGUUGAGAGACUGAUCGGCCACAUUGGGACUGAGACACGGCCCAAACUCCUACGGGAGGCAGCAGAC
rnacentral:rRNA from 1 species